UCGUAUUCCCCGUCUUGGGAAAAGAAGAGUACGGAGUGACAUGUUUCGGUAAACCCCGGUGCCCAGGAGUGCUUUACUCUCUAACUGCGCGACCACAUAACGUUCACCGUGACGCGCUGAGAGAACCCAGAAGCAGCGGCUUCCUUUUGUUCCUGAAAAUUACUCGUAGGAGUGCAAAGUAAAACAAAAACUAAAAAAUAAUCUGAAUGGCGGCACGAGCAGCUGAGCUGGUGGGACUGCUGACUGUCCUUUUUGAAGUUCACAGAAGCUUGGAGCUGCAAGUGUCUACCGUGUCUCCGGUGGAGGCCCUUCUUCAUUCGGAUGUUGUGCUGCCUUGCACCUUCUCACACGGCAGCAGCACGCUUAGGAUGGACCUGCUGGCGGUCAUCUGGAGAUGGGGUGGCACUGUGGUGGCCAGCUAUGGACUGAAAGAUGAUCUGUCCACGCCCAGGGCACGCCUGUCUGACGCUGAGCUGCGCCAUGGGAAUGCGUCCCUCCUUCUCAGCAACAUCACCAUUGCUGACCAGGGCCUGUACGAGUGCAGCAUCAUCUACCCCCCCGAUCAAUCAAAUGGCAUUGUGGAGCUCAAGGCUAUGAAGCCUCCAAAGAUUUCUAUCAAGUCACGGCUUGUCACCCCCAACACCACCAACACCCUGCAGUGCACCUGCUCCGACUUCUACCCUGGCACCAUUAAAAUCUCAUGGCAAAGAAUGGAAGAAGUGAUCAGGGCACCGAGGGAGGAGCUGGCCGAACCAACUGAGAACAGAACCUUCACAGCAACCAGUUACCUCCUCUUCACCCCGAGCUCCAAGGAUGCCAACGUUACCUUCUCCUGUGUGGCACAUCAUGUGGCAAUGAAGCAACAUGAGAGAGCCGAUUUUCAGUUGGAAUUCCGAAGGCGCCCGCAAAUCAGAAUCACCCCGUCCAUUUUAACUCCUGAUAAAGAACAAACGCUGACCUGUGAUGUGGAUGGCUUUUACCCAGAAGGCAUUGCAGUGAGCUGGGUCGUCAAAGGAGAGGAGAUCUCAUCUAGUAAAGUGAGACGCAAAGCCGACGGCAACUACCGAAUGGCCGAGCACUACGUCCUGACACCGGGCGAGACGGACGCGGGGCAGGUGCUCAGCUGUAAAAUAUGGCAGGAAGGCUUUGAGUAUCCACUGAUCCAGGAGUUCACCGUCAGACUUGAAGAUAAAAGUUCAUUUCUGCCGGCACUGAUUGGGGCGAUGUCUGCUGUAAUAAUACUGGCGCUUGCUUCUGGGAUUGGAUAUCUUAUAUGGAAAACUGUGCAGAAGCAGAAACUGAUUCUCUCAGACAUCAUUGUACCCUCCAAGAUCAAGCUGGGGAAGAAAGUGUGCCUGACCUGCUCCAUCGAAGGGUCCGACCUCAAAGGCACGGCGGCAAAGUGGUUUGUGAAUGACGCCCUCAUUUCAGAAGAGGUUUACCGUGCCGAGAUGGACAACGCCGACCAGACGAUUCUGCUGCCUGCAGGAUACAAGACUGAGAUGCAAACGAUUAAUUUUGCGGAGCGGGGCGGGAAAGAACAAUUUCUGAGUUUCCUUCACUUUGUUGCCAGCAUCCAGGAGCACCAGGGAGCCGAGUUCAAGUGCCAGGUGUCAAAGCCAGACAAGAAAAUGUCCGUCGAGAAGAAAACGAAUGUGCACCUCACAGGUUCCUCGACUUGCUGACGGCGGCACCCGAUGGUUGGACUGGGACGCCACGCAUUGAACAAGCUACUGGCUGAGGAUUGUCUCGUGAAUUUAGAAAGUGAAGACUUAGGGCAGAGCUGAACAGCUUGGAUCUCAAACUCUUCCAUCUCGGUUUGGAAGCCUGACCUUGGAGUCUGUUAUCAAAGUGUCACCUCAUCACAGCCAUCUGGGUGGUCAGAUUUCAGCAUCCAGUAAGCUCACGCCAGACUGUCCCUUGGGCCCCUAGUGGACUUCCACUCCUUUUUGUCACCUGCAGAGUCCGGUGAUUCUCUGCCAGCAAGAGGUCAGCAUUUUCGUUAUCUGAUUUGCUGGAAAUAGAAAUGAUGGCUGACACUGAAAGUUCAUCAGUAGUUGCAAAACCAAACAGGCCAGUUUCUGUGGACCCCUUGGGACUCAGGAAUUAUAAACUCUACUCAAACAGCAUCUUCCUUUGUACUUAAACAGGAAAUAAAGUUUGACAUUCAAAUUUUCAAUGUGCAAUCUCCAAGCUCUGCCCUCUCCGAAAUGAAAAGAUGAGCUUUUGGAUUCCAUCUCACCCACGUGCCUGUCACCAAAGUGCCCGUGUACUGUGGUCACGGCAGCACUGUAGAAUCACCAGUAUCUGCAGAAUGACGUCCACCAGGACCAGCAGACUGACCACAGUCCAGUUGAACCACUGACUCUGCAGCCAUCCAGACUGAGUCAUAGCUGUGAGGAGAAGAACACAAUGGGAUUAACAGUGAGCAGAUUCGACAGUGACAGGUCCAAUGGCCUCGUUGAUAUAAAGCCCUCAAAUCUGAAAUCUGCAAUAUGGCCACCAAUCAAGAGUCAGACUCCAAAUUUGAGCCUUCAGUUUGAAAAUCCUGACAUUUACUUUAAACAUUAAAGUGGAGACCCCUUGGGGUCGGAUCUGAAUAUUGCAUCUGAGCCUGUUCUGGAGUCAGAUUUGAACUUUGUAGUAAAGAUUCCCUGAGACCAAACUCUAAGGCCGAGACCCCCUGUUUUUCCAGCUGAGCGUCUGAGUCUGAUUUUAGGCCGUCAAAGUCAGAUUCCAUUUUUGCAGUAAGACAUGACCGCUGAGCUUGAACGUUUGGGACAGAUUUGGCUCAGUAACCCCAACAGGUUGAAUUUAAACUCCACAUUUGAGCAUUCCCAAGGGUGAGAUUUCAACUUUCCAGAGACGUCCACAGGGUUACAUUUAAAAUUUAUAGUAAUGAGCUGUAAGGUGUGUAACCUCUUCCUGGUGGUCCAGUUUGAUCUCUGGAUCAUUUGCAAUUGUGGACUGUAAAGUGGAGACCCCUGCACCUCUGGUCAGAUUGGACCUAUACUGCGAAACCACCAAGAGGGUCAGAUUCGACCUUUACAUCUGAGCCCUCCAAGGGUCAAAUCUGAAAUCACCAAGUCACCAAAUAAGAUUUGACUUCUGAGUUUGAACUUCCUGGUCAAAUCUAAAUUCCUCAGCCAAUCCACCACCAAAACAGUCCAAUUCUAAACCCCACAAAUUGAAAAUCCUCCCAGAAUCAGAUCUGAACUUUUGUAUCAAGUCCUCAAGGUCAAAUUUAGCCUUUUUAGUAAAGAACUCUAAAGUGUAACCAUCCCCUUGUACUCCAGUUUAGAUGAAAACCCCUUAAAAAUAUCUGGGAGAUCAAAUCUAAAAGGUGAACUUGAGCUCUCUAGGGGUUGUUGACCUUUGAAGUUAAAUAUACCUUAAGAUCAAAUUUGACCAGUAAGGUGGAGCACCCAAGGUCAAAUCUGAACGAUGCACUAAAGACCACCGAAGAGAAUUAGUGGAAUUGAACUCUCUGGUGAUUAGAGUUCAAACCACUACAGAAGGAGUCGGAUUAGAUUUAUGGACUCCAUAGUAAUACUUCACAAAACCUUCCCUCAAGAGUGUGAGGUAAUCAAACUGAGUUUUCAAAUCCCAAAUAAAAUAUUCAUGUAGAGAAGUUAAAUACUCAGAGGAUUUAGGCCAACCUCAGAAAGAGACCCAUAACUGUAGUACACACACCCAUCACUUCUUCAAGGACCCCCUCAUCUUUGAAUCCCCAUUAAAGCAGUACCCAGGUGUCACUCACGUAGCACAGUCAGCAGAGUCCCAUUGCCCUUCUGGAUAUUCUGAGCCAUAACUUCCUGGAUUUGGCAGACAUAGACCCCGCUGUCAGCCAGGG